GUCCCACUGAGAUCCGAAGUCCCAGCUGCCUGAGCCCUCCUGCUAACGAGGACCCUGAGACUUGAGGUGUUAAGGUCCAGUUCCUCACCCAUCACCAUGGAAGACCCACAGACAAUGCAAUCAAGCAGGAGGGUCCUUUAUUCUGGUAUACACCAGGGGAAGCUCAGCACAAGAGUUCCGCCUGCAGUUCAGCAACAAAGCUGUCUGAUACAAAAGGAGGAAUGUGCAGGAGGACAGAAGUCUGCAAGAGAGGAGGCUGAAGGUAUCAUAUCAGGACCUACCAGAUUGGAGAAAUUUAAGACUUUGGGGACAUGGGGUAGUGUUUUGAUUGUUAGAUUUUGCCAAAGGCAGACUUCCUGUCUUUCUGGAUCAAUUGUCAAUGCGCCGGUGGCAUUGGGGAACGCCCCCAAAUGCCAAUCACCAGUACCUGUAUCCUUAGGCUUUCCCACCAUUAAGGGAUGGAGUCCAAUCCCAUAUAGCAUUACUCAUUUGUCCAUAUGUUUGGUCAGUGACGCUGGGUCUUGACCAAAAGGGGUGUGUGUCAAUCAACUAUCCCUCUCUCACUCUAAGCCCCCAGGUCAUCUAGAGUGAUAUAUAGGUUCCCCAAGUUCUUUUGUUCCUCUCAGUCCAUCCUGAGUCGGUGGCACUCCCAGGGGUCAGUGACCAGAGCAGCCAGAGUUCAAUCUGGACUCUGUGCAGUGGUGGGGAGCGAGCAGCUGUGUUGUCGUGGCCUAUUAGCGCUGAGGUCUUUUAGUGCUGAACCCCUUUAGCCCUUGAUUAAAGAGUGGUUUUGACUAUUUAAUAGUUCUGUGUUUUUUCUAGUUGACAAUUGUUAAUCUGAGACUUGUGAAGUUGGACUUUUCCCUCGGGAAGAAACUCAUGUGACAAGGUCAAAUUUGAGGCUUUCAUCUUUAAGCUAACUAAACUAGGGUGUCUUCGAAUCUUACUAGGCUACAAGUUUGGGGGUUUCUAGAUUCCACAUUGAGGGUGGCAAUACAUUGAGGCUUUAAAAUUGUGGCUCCUUUUGAAUCCUUUUGGAUUCCCCAAAGAGUAUUUGUACUCUUCCUUAAACAUUAAAUCAGUUUACCACAGUUAUCACUAAAGUUUGUAAAAUUAGCAAAACAAAAGGACAAGAGUUUGAAUUAAUAACAAUAUCCUGCAUUUACACACACUUUAAGCUUUGCAAACCACUUUGCAAGAAGUGCUUUAAUUUUUUUCCCCUUUUUGUUUUAUCUUUAUGACUGAAAGUUAGGUGAUAUUCUAUUAAUUUUAUAGAUGGUGAAACUGAGAC
rnacentral:lncRNA from 1 species